GUAAACACUUGGGUUUUAACGUGGUUUCUCAAGCUCUGCAGCGGGAGCCCAAAACGCUUCGAAUGCGCUCGCAUUUGCGUGGGACGAGCGAGACGGUGACCUUCAGCGAGCGAAUCCCUUCCCUCCGCAGCUUCUCCGCCUCGCUCUGCGCGCGCGUUCUCCGGGGCGCGGGGCAGCAAACGCUACGUCCUCGGAGACCAGGAGGAUGCGUGGGCUCUCCGGGAGGCAAGUGGGAGACAUCGCAAACCUGGUGCUUCAGCAGACGGGCCCUUGUUUCCGUGUCUGACCACAAAGAAGCGGCAGAGCACCCCUUCCAAAAUUGCGGCUGGCCGUUGGGCUGAGGCUUGCUGCUGCUGGAUUCGUCAGCGAAGCUGGUGUUGGCUUCUGCCUGAGCAGAAUUGAAGCCCAACUGCUCACACAGGAGCACACAGAGGCUGUAAUUGAAUUCGGAGCUGUGUUGUACCAGGCACCAUAGAAAUACGUAUUAGGAUGCAGUCCCUGAAGAACACGUAGUCAGCUUGAGAACAUGUUCCUGCAAGAAAAAAGUUAUUUGAUGUCUUUUUAUAUCUUAAGAUAUGCAAAGAUGCAAAAUAAAUUGAUGCCAAUGUUAGCAGUGAAAUCUAUUUGAUUUUAUUAAUUUUUAAAUAAUCCAUGUUUUCUUUUCUUUGUUGUUACUAUAUUUUUUCACAUUGUCUAAGUAGUGUGCUGCAUCUUUUGCAAAGUCUGAGGAAGAUUAGUCAAGCAUCUUGAGUUACAGGUCAUUACAGUUUCCUAUGACUACAGAGGUACUUAAUAAAAACAAUUAAACAUUAUGACAGGAUUUUCUGUUGAGGCAUGUAUUGACUCACAACUUUGAACAAGCAGAUUAUUUUUUGGAAAAAAAUCUAGCUUAUUCAAGAAGGAUGAUUGCAGUGGUUCACACUUUCUAAUGUUACAUAGGUCUGAAAAAUGACGCUGGGAUAUCAUUGCUUUGGAUAACAUAAGAAUCACAGCU